rnacentral:rRNA from 1 species
UACGUAGGGUGCAAGCGUUAAUCGGAAUUACUGGGCGUAAAGCGUGCGCAGGCGGUUUUGUAAGUCUGAUGUGAAAUCCCCGGGCUCAACCUGGGUAUUGCAUUGGAGACUGCAAGGCUAGAAUCUGGCAGAGGGGGGUAGAAUUCCACGUGUAGCAGUGAAAUGCGUAGAGAUGUGGAGGAACACCGAUGGCGAAGGCAGCCCCCUGGGUCAAGAUUGACGCUCAUGCACGAAAGCGUGGGGAGCAAACAGG